GUAUGGCUGUUCGCCAUUUAAAGUGGUACGCGAGCUGGGUUCAGAACGUCGUGAGACAGUUCGGUCCCUAUCUGCCGUGGGCGUUGGAUGAUUGAAGGGAGUUGCUCCUAGUACGAGAGGACCGGAGUGAACGAACCUCUGGUGUUCGGGUUGUCACGCCAGUGGCACUGCCCGGUAGCUAAGUUCGGAAUCGAUAACCGCUGAAAGCAUCUAAGCGGGAAGCGAGCCCUGAGAUGAGUCAUCCCUGACCCCUUGAGGGUCCUAAAGGGCCGUUGGAGACCACAACGUUGAUAGGUGGGGUGUGUAAGCGCAGUGAUGUGUUGAGCUAACCCAUACUAAUUACCCGUGAGGCUUAACCAUACAACACCCAAGAAGUGUUCU
rnacentral:rRNA from 1 species